rnacentral:tmRNA from 1 species
UCGGGAUUGCGAGCCGAGAGCCGCGAGCGUUACAGCGCAAGCGUUUCACAAACGCCAACAAGAGCACCGCUUUCGCCCUCGCUGCGUAAGCAGUAGAGACGUGAGCCCCGGGACUUAGAUCCCGGGCGUCGUCCUGGUCAGUCCGGCGGACCGGGUAACGGCGUCACAUAGACCGGAUCGCCGCCUCGGGGGCGCCGCGGCUCCGAGGCGGGACACUCACCGCGGCUGGCUGAAGCGGACCCCGUCAGGAGGGGCCGCCACGCGAGAACCAAAAUCCUGGACACGCUCGUAGAAAUCCUGAGGGACUCUGCUUCGGACGCGGGUUCAACUCCCGCCGCCUCCACCA